UAAAUUAGGGAAUGUAGAACUACAUCCGAGACUACAUCUUAUUGAUUUAUUUCUGCAUCAAGUCAGUACUUGUAUUAAAAUAAACAGUUCUAUUGCUAUUCAAUCAGGGCGGGCAGAUUAUUUCCCAGAGCGGGCAAUGCCCGCUCUGGCCCCUCCCUGGCUACGGCCCUGAGUACCAUGAGUCAUUUGAACAGACGAUGGUGGAAAGAUGUGACUGACAAAAAGCAUUCUUCACUAUGAUGAUGUAAAAAACUCUCAUUCUGGUUAGAAAAACUGGCAGUAGUCAUACUGCGUAUUGUUGGACACGCGUGGGUUUGUAGACUCAAUAAUACUGAAGUCUGAAGUUGUGAUCGCAGUUUCAGUUUUUUCCAAGGAUCUAGUUUCUGUAUAAAAAGCAUUAAACUCAUUAAACAUUGAAGAUAAUCAUUGGGUGUUAAGCUGAUGAUAGCUAGUUAUUUUGAGGGCUCCAGAUUGCUUACAUUACCCAGAAACCACUUUCAAAGGUUUAAAACUUCAGGAAAGGGGCCAUAAAGUUCUAGUAACGCAUUUUUCUAUAAAUAAACCUUUUAGAAACACUUAUGAAAGGUUCUGGGGAGCGUUCAGGUUCAUGAAUCAUUUCUUCUUAUUAUUACUAUUCAAUUCGUUUCAGAUUAAGGGUCACAUAUUUUCACCUAACAGUAGUUACCUACAUUGGUGCAGCAGAUCAAUGAUUGCAUCUACAGUGGCAUCCAUGGAAUUGGAGGUUAACGGAAGUGAAAAUACAGAACUAUCUCCUAAGAGAACUAGCCAGAUAACAUAUUGGUAUGUAUAAAGGCACACUGUUGUGAAAGUUCUAGAGUUCUUAGAGCUGCUAACUAUUUAGGCUAGUCUGUAAAACAUUUCACUGUAAAAGUUAUUGGCAGUAGGCAUUCUGCAUGUUAAAUAUUAAGUGUUAGUGUAAAAUUCGUUGAUUAUUAAUAUACUUUUAACAAAUAUAAAUUCGUGGUUACA